CUGACAACCCUGAGAUCAAGAGUUGCACACUCUACCUACUGAGCCAGCCAAGCAUCCCUGCCAGCCCUGUGGACCCUGCACAGAAACAGAAGGAUAUUUGAAUGUUAUCAAGAAGAAUUUUCCCCUAUUCUUAAACUGCUUGUGGUCAGCUGAAUGGAAGAAGUCGCGACAACUAGCAAUUACUAAAUGGCCAGAUGCAAAAAAAAAAGCAAACAAUGACAGUACAUUAUGUUCUGCUUCUACUCAACACUAAAAGCAAGAUCUUUGCAAGGCUCCUCACAAUUGUGAAAAAUGAUAGCUAAUAAAUGUGGAAGGCAUGAUAACAGUAAAUCAACAAUUUGGAACCCCUAAGGUAACAAUGGACUCAGGAAAGGAUCAUCCAUGUAUUCUAAGCCACGUAAUGUAAGGUUAAUGAAAAACUGGAUAUUCACAUGGUGCCAAAGUAUCAACAUACAGAUAACUUCCUAUUAACAUGAGGGAAAAUGUCAUUGUUGAAUGGAGGGAUAAGACUGUCAUCAGCUUACUAGGACAUUAAAAGUCAGACAGGUAUGAGAUGUUACAUGAUAUGAAACAUAUAGCACAACCUGUGAAGUCUUUUGGAAUUAAAUAUUUUACCUGAACAUGGUCAAGCUCCGAGAUCUAAGUACAAAAGACAAGACUGGUGACAAAGAACAAAUUUAACCAACCACGAAAAAGCAAUCAGAUAAAUCUAAUACUUGGAAGACUAAUGGAAUCUUCUAUGGUAAUGUUCUUUUCAACAAGUCAAUGCCAUUAAAGGAAUGGGAGGAGACACUAUUCUAAAUUAAGAGACUGAAUAAUCCUAACAAAUAAAACACAUGGCCUCUGACCUGAUCAUUGUUUGAACAAAACAGUUAUAAAAUGUAUUUGGUGGCAA